rnacentral:misc_RNA from 1 species
AAAAAAACAUUGUUGUUAUGUUGUCUCAAGAAGGUGUGGGAUUCGAUGCCAUCCCACGCCUGGGGCAUGCAUAUCACUUCCUACAAAAUCCCCUAUGCCCAGACUUGCUAGAACUUGUUCUUCCCCCCCUUUUUCACGCCAACAUGCUUCUAUUGUUGUUUGAUUUGUUUCUUCACCCUAAAAAUGCCUCACAUCAUAAUCCUCCACUUGAGAAAAACCUGUCCUUGAGUAUAAAAAGGUUGCAACAAACCCAAACAAGGCCAUAACAACUUCUACACCAUUCUCCCUCACUUGGAAUAAACCCUCCCUCUAAUUUUGAAGCAGAAGAGAAUGCAAAUCUUUGUUAGAGAAGUACACCAUAUUACUUUCUUUAUUGAGGUGGUUAAGGGAGAAUUGAACAAAAUUGAAUUAAUUAACUUUUUCUUUGCCUAUGUCUUUCCAAAAACACCUGGACUAAUAAAAUCAAUGGAAACAAUUGAAUGUUAAGGGAGAAUUGAACAAAAUUGAAUUAAUUAACUUUUUCUUUGCCUAUGUCUUUCCAAAAACACCUGGACUAAUAAAAUCAAUGGAAACAAUUGAAUGUAAAGGGUUAAUUAAUUUUUUAUUUGGAACCACCAUGGUUUAAGGCUGUGAGAAAAGAAGCGAGAAGCAUGGUUUCAAAUUACAGUUGCGUUCGCGAUCGCGGUUGCGGAUAGUGAAAACAGGCCUAUAACGGUCAUAAUGUAACGGUGAUGGUAAUGGCCUGAAGCUAUGUAAAUUUUUUUGAAAAAUUU